rnacentral:rRNA from 1 species
UACAGAGACCUCAAGCGUUAUCCGGAAUCAUUGGGCGUAAAGGGUGCGUAGGCGGCGCGGUAAGUCGGGUGUGAAAUCUCGGAGCUUAACUCCGAAACUGCAUUCGAUACUGCCGUGCUUGAGGACUGGAGAGGAGACUGGAAUUUACGGUGUAGCGGUGAAAUGCGUAGAUAUCGUAAGGAAGACCAGUGGCGAAGGCGGGUCUCUGGACAGUUCCUGACGCUGAGGCACGAAGGUCAGGGGAGCAAACGGG